rnacentral:miRNA from 1 species
ACUUCAAUGGCUCCUCUCAGAGGGACUGCGACAUCU